UCAACGGCGAGAUUCGAACCCACGAUCUCCUGUUUACUAAACAGGCGCCUUAACCAAAUAAACCAUG